rnacentral:rRNA from 1 species
UACGGAGGGGGCUAACGUUGUUCGGAAUUACUGGGCGUAAAGCGCGCGUAGGCGGCUUUGCAAGUUAGAGGUGAAAGCCCGGGGCUCAACUCCGGAACUGCCUUUAAGACUGCAUCGCUUGAAUUGUGGAGAGGUAAGUGGAAUUCCGAGUGUAGAGGUGAAAUUCGUAGAUAUUCGGAAGAACACCAGUGGCGAAGGCGACUUACUGGACACAUAUUGACGCUGAGGUGCGAAAGCGUGGGGAGCAAACAGG